CUCUACAGCCACACCACCCUGAACGUGCCCAGUCUCGAGCGAUCUCGCUAAGCAGGGGCGGGUUGGGUCGUACCUGCGUGGGACACUGCUUGGGAAUGCCGGGUGCUGUAGCAG
rnacentral:rRNA from 1 species